rnacentral:tRNA from 1 species
AAAAUUUUAGUUUAAUAUAAAAAAAUUUUUCGUUUACAUUGAAAAGAUUAAAAUUUAAUUUAAAAUUUUA